CCAUCAAUAGCUCAAGUAUUUUUAAUUCAAUAUUGAAUGAUAAUGUAUUGAUUACAUGUACAUAUCACAUCCGAUCAUAAUAAUCCAUUUUCGAGCCAACUCCGUACCGACUCCACACUAUUUCCAAUAUUUACAACAAUCCGCAUCCGAAAACAUCUGCACCCACUCUGCAUCCGCUUAAAAAUAUGGUUUAGGAUAUGAUAUGACAACUGUCCGUCCAAAUCCGAUCCGCUAACACCCCUAGUGUUUGGUUGCCUAUACAAAAAGUAGGCUAAGAAGAGAUUUUGUUUGGUUGAUUGUAUGUAUAGUAUGUAUGGGUACCUAUAUUUUUUUGGUUGAGAUGAUCAAUUUAUGAAUUAAUAUUAGUAAUAUAGAUAAAUUAAAUAAUUUCACGCACUAAAUUAACCUAUUUUUAAAGUAUCAUUGAGCUAAUAACAUUCUUGUAAAUUCUUCCAAUUUUAAGGAAAACUGAAAACAAAUAUCAGAGUCACAAUAGAUCACAUCGUCUUUAGAAAAAAUAAUUAACAAUCACGUGGUGAUUAUCUCUCCAGAGCAACCGGUUAGGGAAAGGAUAGAAAAAGGGAUAAUCUCUUGCAUGCACCUCAAAUUUUGGCUAAUCUCUUCUAUGCUCCUGAAUUUUCCUUACUUCCAUAUCCCUUCCGCUAGUUGACCAUCUAAUUUCAACAAAAUUGAUAAUUUUACCCAUUAGAUAAACAUAUAAAUAUAUGAAUUACAUUAUUAAAAAUGUAAAAGUUUAUCUCAUGAGACUAUUAGUAGUUAUGAAUUUGCUGUGCGAUACAUUAUUUAUGAAAAAAAAAUUCAUAGAUAAUAAAAUAAAAAAUAUGUAUUUAUUUUGUUUUUAAAAAUUCAAAAAAUAAGGACCGUUGAUGUAAAGAUAGGAUUACCAAUGUUCAUGAUAUUUUUUAAGUGUUCCCGACAAAAAAUAUAUUGUCCUAUUAAAUUUCAAAUAAAAAUUAAUCUAUUAUAUUGUUUUAUUUUAAAAUUUAUGUUAGUUUUUUUCACUAAUUAUGUUUGUCUCAUGAGUUACUUAAAAUGCACACACUAUGCACUCAAAUGAAAAUUUCAAUCGUUUUUCAAGCUUAUAUAUAUUCAAACAUAAAUCAUCGAGCGCAUUGAAGUCUUUUGUCACAAACUUAACUGUGAAAUAAAGGAAAAUCUAACAGCAGGGAUAUGGAAGGGAUCGGGUAAAUUUCAAGGAUAUAUAAGAGAUUGAGUGAGUUUGUAGCUGUAUAUAGGAAAUUUACCCUAAAAAAAAUGGCGUCAAUUUCCUCGCAUGUUGCUUCUCUCUCCUCGCCGCCGAAUCAAUCCGUUCGCGUGACGCAACAGCCCCCGCAACGCCGUCCGCUGCAGAUCUAGGGCGGCGAUGGGGAGCGGUGCAGGCGUGGCGGCUAACAACGUCGAGCGGCGGACGGGGCCGCAGCAGCCCCACGACGGUUCUCGCUUUAGAUCUAGGGCGAUGGGCCC
rnacentral:lncRNA from 1 species